ACACUCCUACGGGAGGCAGCAGUGGGGAAUAUUGCACAAUGGGCGCAAGCCUGAUGCAGCCAUGCCGCGUGUAUGAAGAAGGCCUUCGGGUUGUAAAGUACUUUCAGCGGGGAGGAAGGCAAUACGGUUAAUAACCGUGUUGAUUGACGUUACCCGCAGAAGAAGCACCGGCUAACUCCGUGCCAGCAGCCGCGGUAAUACGGAGGGUGCAAGCGUUAAUCGGAAUUACUGGGCGUAAAGCGCACGCAGGCGGUCUGUCAAGUCGGAUGUGAAAUCCCCGGGCUCAACCUGGGAACUGCAUUCGAAACUGGCAGGCUUGAGUCUUGUAGAGGGGGGUAGAAUUCCAGGUGUAGCGGUGAAAUGCGUAGAGAUCUGGAGGAAUACCGGUGGCGAAGGCGGCCCCCUGGACAAAGACUGACGCUCAGGUGCGAAAGCGUGGGGAGCAAACAGGAUUAGAUACCCUAGUAGUCCCAUG
rnacentral:rRNA from 1 species